rnacentral:rRNA from 1 species
AAUCAACGCUGGCGGCGCGCCUAACACAUGCAAGUCGAACGAGAAAGUGGAGCAAUCCAUAAGUAAAGUGGCGUACGGGUGAGUAACACGUGGAUUAUCUGCCCUUUUGUGGGGAAUACCGCUGGGAAACCGGCGACAAUACCGCAUAAGCCCGAGAGGGGAAAGCAGCAAUGCGCAGAAGGAGGAGUCCGCGGUCGAUUAGUUAGUUGGCGGGGUAAAGGCCCACCAAGACUGUGAUCGAUAGCCGGCCUGAGAGGGCACACGGCCACACUGGCACUGAAACACGGGCCAGACUCCUACGGGAGGCAGCAGUGGGGAAUCUUGCACAAUGGGGGAAACCCUGAUGCAGCGACGCCGCGUGAGCGAUGAAGCCCCUCGGGGUGUAAAGCUCUUUCGGCAGGGAAGAUUAUGACGGUACCUGCAAAAACAGCUGCGGCUAACUACGUGCCAGCAGCCGCGGUAAUACGUAGGCAGCAAGCGUUGUUCGGAGUUACUGGGCGUAAAGGGUGCGUAGGCGGCUUUUUAAGUUUGGUGUGAAACCUCCCGGCUCAACUGGGAGGGUGCGCCGAAUACUGAGAGGCUAGAGUGUGGGAGAGGAAAGUGGAAUUCCUGGUGUAGCGGUGAAAUGCGUAGAUAUCAGAGGAACACCGGUGGUGUAAACGGCUUUCUGGACCAUAACUGACGCUGAGGCACGAAAGCGUGGGUAGCAAACAGGAUUAGAUACCCUGGUAGUCCACGCCCUAAACGAUGCAUAUUUGGUG